UCCCUGAGAUUAGCGGCGGACGGGUGAGUAACACGUGGGCAACCUGCCUAUAAGACUGGGAUAACUUCGGGAAACCGGAGCUAAUACCGGAUACGUUCUUUUCUCGCAUGAGAGAAGAUGGAAAGACGGUUUACGCUGUCACUUAUAGAUGGGCCCGCGGCGCAUUAGCUAGUUGGUGAGGUAAUGGCUCACCAAGGCGACGAUGCGUAGCCGACCUGAGAGGGUGAUCGGCCACACUGGGACUGAGACACGGCCCAGACUCCUACGGGAGGCAGCAGUAGGGAAUCUUCCGCAAUGGACGAAAGUCUGACGGAGCAACGCCGCGUGAACGAAGAAGGCCUUCGGGUCGUAAAGUUCUGUUGUUAGGGAAGAACAAGUACCAGAGUAACUGCUGGUACCUUGACGGUACCUAACCAGAAAGCCACGGCUAACUACGUGCCAGCAGCCGCGGUAAUACGUAGGUGGCAAGCGUUGUCCGGAAUUAUUGGGCGUAAAGCGCGCGCAGGUGGUUCCUUAAGUCUGAUGUGAAAGCCCACGGCUCAACCGUGGAGGGUCAUUGGAAACUGGGGAACUUGAGUGCAGAAGAGGAAAGUGGAAUUCCAAGUGUAGCGGUGAAAUGC
rnacentral:rRNA from 1 species